rnacentral:rRNA from 1 species
UACGAAGGGGGCUAGCGUUGCUCGGAAUCACUGGGCGUAAAGGGUGCGUAGGCGGGUCUUUAAGUCAGGGGUGAAAUCCUGGAGCUCAACUCCAGAACUGCCUUUGAUACUGAAGAUCUUGAGUUCGGGAGAGGUGAGUGGAACUGCGAGUGCAGAGGUGAAAUUCGUAGAUAUUCGCAAGAACACCAGUGGCGAAGGCGGCUCACUGGCCCGAUACUGACGCUGAGGCACGAAAGCGUGGGAGCAAACAGGG